AAUCAACGCUGGCGGCGUGCUUAACACAUGCAAGUCGAGCGGAAAGGCCCUUCGGGGUACUCGAGCGGCGAACGGGUGAGUAACACGUGAGCAACCUGCCCUAGGCUUUGGGAAUAACCCCGGGAAACCGGGGCUAAUACCGAAUAUUACCACCGGGCGCAUGUUUGGUGGUGGAAAGUUUUUCGGCCUGGGAUGGGCUCGCGGCCUAUCAGCUUGUUGGUGGGGUGAUGGCCUACCAAGGCGACGACGGGUAGCCGGCCUGAGAGGGCGACCGGCCACACUGGGACUGAGACACGGCCCAGACUCCUACGGGAGGCAGCAGUGGGGAAUAUUGCACAAUGGGCGGAAGCCUGAUGCAGCGACGCCGCGUGAGGGAUGACGGCCUUCGGGUUGUAAACCUCUUUCAGCAGGGACGAAGCGAAAGUGACGGUACCUGCAGAAGAAGCGCCGGCCAACUACGUGCCAGCAGCCGCGGUAACAC
rnacentral:rRNA from 1 species